UACGUAGGGACCAAGCGUUGUUCGGAUUUACUGGGCGUAAAGGGCGCGUAGGCGGCUUGACAAGUCACUUGUGAAAUCUCCGGGCUUAACUCGGAACUGCCAAGUGAAACUGUCAUGCUAGAGUGCAGAAGGGGCAAUCGGAAUUCUUGGUGUAGCGGUGAAAUGCGUAGAUAUCUGGAGGAACACCGGUGGCGAAGGCGGCAUCCUGGACCGGCAUUGACGCUGAGGAGCGAAAGCCAGGGGAGCAAACGGG
rnacentral:rRNA from 1 species